rnacentral:lncRNA from 1 species
AGGCAUGGUCUUGCUAUGUUGCCAGGCUGGCUUUGAACUCCUGGGCUUAAAGGAUCCUUCUGCCUCAGCCUCGCAAGCAGCUAGGACUAUAGGACUUUCCCUCCAUGUGGUGGCCACUCCUGGAGAAAUGAUGCUUGUGUGUGACUAAUGAAAGGAUCUUGUCGCCUGGUUCUGAUGGUGUCUUGGUUCCCGGCUGGGGUUUUGUGUUGACCACGACCGUUGCCUGCUGUCGGGGAGCUGCGUGUGUUUCACAACAAACAGGGAGCCAGGGAGACCACCCUGCGGGGCUGCCCCUUCCCUCAGAGCUUUCUGCUUGGGUCGCUGGCGUCUUGCGGUGCCUUCAUUCGUCUGUGGUGUGAGGUGCUAGUCCAGGCUUAGGCGCUAACAGUGAAUGAGAAGGAGAAUACGCUCUGGCAGUGCGGCGGAAGGUCAAUAUGGAGCCUGGUUUGCUCUUAGACUCUUUCCAAGGCCGAUGGGCUUCCUCUUCCCUCCUGACCAGGGGUUUUGAUGCUCCUGCCCUGGGCUGUCUGGUUCCUGCUCCCAAGUCUUCAGAAAGAUCCCAGGGCCUGGAGACCGUGAGUUCAGGUUCAGAUGCCUUGCGUGGCCUGUGGAUCCUGGGCCUGGUCUCUGUCCCCGGGCCCGUGUUCAGCACCCAGGGCGGAGUCCCUUGCCCAGCACUGGGCAGAAGGAGGGCCUCCUCAGGGCAAGGGUCUGCCAUCAGGGGGCUCUGGCAGCAGCUCCCGGGCACUUUCAGAUUCCCGCAGCGCAGAGAGGUUUUCCUGGGGGAAGGGAGGACUCUGUGGCUGGAGAAACCCUGCAGCGAACACCCAGCGACCAGGUCUACAGCAGCACCAGGAGGAAGCCCCGAGCCACGGAAAUUCGGUAAGGAUCGGAUAAUGGCAAUGAAAUCACAGCUCUAA